rnacentral:rRNA from 1 species
AACGUAGGAGACAAACGUUAUCCGGAGUUACUGGGCGUAAAGGGCGUGUAGGCGGACUGUUAAGUCUGGCGUGAAAGCUCCCGGCUAAACCGGGAGAGGUCGUUGGAUACUGGCAGACUAGAGGGUGGUAGAGGCGGGUGGAAUUCCGGGGGUAGUGGUGAAAUGCGUAGAGAUCCGGAGGAACACCAGUGGCGAAGGCGACACGCUGGGCCAUACCUGACGCUAAAGCGCGACAGCAUGGGGAGCAAACGGG